CUAACACAUGCAAGUCGAACGGUAGCACAGAGGAGCUUGCUCCUUGGGUGACGAGUGGCGGACGGGUGAGUAAUGUCUGGGAAACUGCCCGAUGGAGGGGGAUAACUACUGGAAACGGUAGCUAAUACCGCAUAAUGUCGCAAGACCAAAGAGGGGGACCUUCGGGCCUCUUGCCAUCGGAUGUGCCCAGAUGGGAUUAGCUUGUUGGUGAGGUAAUGGCUCACCAAGGCGACGAUCCCUAGCUGGUCUGAGAGGAUGACCAGCCACACUGGAACUGAGACACGGUCCAGACUCCUACGGGAGGCAGCAGUGGGGAAUAUUGCACAAUGGGCGCAAGCCUGAUGCAGCCAUGCCGCGUGUAUGAAGAAGGCCUUCGGGUUGUAAAGUACUUUCAGCGGCGGAGGAAGGCGACACGGUUAAUAACCGCGUUGAUUGACGUUACCCGCAGAAGAAGCACCGGCUAACUCCGUGCCAGCAGCCGCGGUAAUACGGAGGGUGCAAGCGUUAAUCGGAAUUACUGGGGCGUAAAGCGCACGCAGGCGGUCUGUCAAGUCGGGAUGUGAAAUCCCCGGGCUCAACCUGGGAACUGCAUUCGAAACUGGCAGGCUUGAGUCUUGUAAGGGGGGGUUA
rnacentral:rRNA from 1 species